GGACUACUGGGGUAUCUAAUCCCGUUUGCUCCCCUAGCUUUCGCGCCUCAGCGUCAGAAGAGAUCCAGUGCGUCGCUUUCGCCUCCGGCGUUCCUUCCAAUAUCAACGCAUUUCACCGCUCCACUGGAAGUUCCACACACCCCUAUCUCCCUCCAGACGAUCAGUAUCAGAGGCACUUCUACAGUUAAGCUGCAGGAUUUCACCCCUGACUUGAUCGACCGCCUACGCGCCCUUUAAGCCCAGUGAUUCCGAACAACGUUAGGACAGUUCGUCUUACCGCGGCUGCUGGCAC
rnacentral:rRNA from 1 species